UGAGGAAUAUUGGUCAAUGGGCGAGAGCCUGAACCAGCCAAGUAGCGUGCAGGAUGACGGCCCUAUGGGUUGUAAACUGCUUUUAUGCGGGGAUAAAGUGCGGCACGUGUGCCGUUUUGUAGGUACCGCAUGAAUAAGGACCGGCUAAUUCCUG
rnacentral:rRNA from 1 species